rnacentral:lncRNA from 1 species
AGGAGCAACUGAAGAAAAAGGAGCAACAGAAGAAAAAGGAGCAACAGAAGAAAAAGGAGCAACUGAAGAAAAAGGAGCAACUGAAGAAAAAGGAGCAACUAAAGAAAAAGGAGCAACAGACGAAGUAUCAAAUAUAGCAGUGCCAAACAUAGGAGAUAUAAAAAAUAAUCCUUCAGAUAAACCAAAAGAUGUUAUGCAAUCAAACGUUAAUUUAUAUAACGCUCUAAAUGAAGUAACAAAGGCAGAAGAAGCAGUUAAAACAGCUAAGAAAGAACAUGAUAAGGCUAUAACAGCAGCAAAUAAGGCAAAACAAGCUGAACAUGAAGCAGAUAAAGAUGCAAAAAAAAAAGAAGCAGAUGCUCAAAUAGCAAAAAAUGCAAUAAACGAUAAAACUGGAGAUGAUAAAAAAAAGGCAGAAGAAGAAGCGAUAAAAAAAGAAGCAGAAGCUAAAGAGGCAAAGGAUAAAGCAGAAAAAGCUAAAUUAGAGGCACAAACAUUAGAAAUAGCAAAAAAUGUGGCUAAACAAAACCAUAAAGUUAAAACAGCAGAAGUUAAAGUAGCAGAAGCUAUGGCAAAUGUAUAUAAACUAGAAGCAAUUAUAUUACAUGCAGAAAAAGAAAAAAAAAGUGAUCAAGUGACAAAGAAAAGAGAAGAACUUAAAACAGCAGAAAGUGUAGUACAAGCAGCUAAAAGCGAAGUAGUAAAAGCUAAAGAAGACGUAGAAAAGGCAAAAAAGGAAGAGAUAGUAAAUAAUGAAGAGGGCUUUAUUGCAAAAUAUAAAAAACCCUUGAUAGGAAGUGGUAUUUUAGGUACAUUGGGACUUAUCCUGUCUAGUGCUUUUUACUUUAUGUAAAAUUUGAAAAAGAGAAAAGAAAUGAUUAAUAAAAAGUAGAAAAAAGUUUAUCCCCA